rnacentral:lncRNA from 1 species
AGACUGCUUCUCAUCACACUCCCAUAGGUGGUGUCAGCCAAAAGGUUCUGUGAUGUGACUGCUGUGCAAGGGGCACACCUGUCUCCAGCUGUCAGAAGAGCCAUUGGGCAAAGAGGUGCAGAGUCUGGCAGUGAGAAAUCAGAACUCCAUGUGUGACCUGUGAAAAGAGGUCCGUCGAUGAACCAGAAAGGAGACCUUCACUUACUCACCAAAUAUACUGGCACCUUGAUCUUGGACUUUUCAGCCUCCAAAACUAUGAGAAAUAAUUUUCUGUGGUUGAUAGGCCACUCACUUCAUGGCAUUUUCUUAUAGCAGCUUGAACAGACUAAAACAAUAUAUUAGGUUAGUGCAAAUGUUAUUGCAGCUUUGGACUGUGAAUUUUAAAUUAUUAUAACUAGGCUCAAACACAUCUUUAUUAAUCAUAUAGGAACCAUUACAAUCAACACAUUUUUGCCAAGGAGAAAUAACUUUGUUUAUUCCUGUAGUGUAAAAAUCCGUGCUUCGGGAUUUGAUGAGCUCUGGAAAGCAUUUUCUGCAUCCUGCUGGUUGUGGAAGUAUUUUCCCUUCAAAAAGAUGUUGAGAUGCUUAAAGAAGUGGUAGUCGGUUGGCAAGAGGUCAGGUGAAUAUGGCAGAUAAGGCAAAACCUGAUAGCCCAAUUCGUUCUACUUUUGAAGUGUUGGUUGUGCGAUGUGUGGCCUGGUGUUGUCAUGGAGAAGACUCGGGCCCUUUCUGUUGACCAACGCCGGCUGCAGGCGUUGCAGGUUUUGUGCAGCUCAUCGAUUUGCUGAGCAUACUUCUCAGAUUUAAUGGUUUUGCCGGGAUUCAGAAAGUUGUAGUGGAUCAGACUAGCAGCAGACCACCAAAC